rnacentral:lncRNA from 1 species
CAACUAACUUCAGAUAUACUUGAACUGGUACCUUUUAAAGACAGAGGGAUUAGUUUCAUUACUUACUGCUACUUUCAUCUCCAUACUUGUAAAUGCAGGUUGGGUUUGCAGGACAUAGAGCUGAGAAGGUAGGAGGAACAAUAUCUAAUAUACGCUGAUGGUAAGACAACCUACAAUACAAAUAACAGCCUCAGAAAAUAUCUUUUAUCAGUCCCAUUCUUCGGUAACACCCAACUUACCUGCAAAGUCACGAUCUCCAACAACUUGAACUCAGCUGACAACCAAGAAGUGAAAGGGAAAAAAAAAUCCUUUGAGUUUUUGUCUAAGCCAGCACGCCAAAUCUCAGGCAUACUGCAAAACUCACUGGCUUGCACUGAGGUGCGGGUGAGUGAGCUCAUGAGCCUGGUGGCCAAGUAUGUGGGGUGAUGAUGGGGCAUGGUGGAGAUGACUGCACGCUUUGGAAACUGGCUAUAUUCUAUCAAAUAAAUAAAUAUUGAGGAUAAUGGAAGCCAAGUUUGUUACUGCCUGAGAAGGUAUUUACAAAUCAUGGUAGAGAAGAAGUGUAGAAAUAAGGUAUUGAGUUGGAAUUGGAGGCAUAUAUACACACAGGUGGACAUAAAAACAGUUAUGGAUGGAUGGAUGUGUGUCCACCAAGAGGCUUAGAACCAAUGACACCCCAAUGGCAAUGAGCAUAUCAAGUGCCCAGAUCUUGGCUCCUAAAUACCAUAUUCCAUUACUACUUUACUAGAAACUAGGGCUCCAUGAAUAAAUAGAUGAUUCCAGCGAUAGGGCAAGAAAACGCAAGAUGAUCCUAAACAUGUUGUUCUAGAAAAUAAGGGAAUGCUCAAUGAAUGGCUGGGGAUGUUAAAAAAAAAAAAUAAUAUAUAUAUAUAUAUAUAUAUAUAUACACACACACACAGAGAGAGAGAGAGAGAGAGAGAGUGAGCUUACCGGGGCUCCUCAUGUACAUAUCAGGGACAAUUUGGGCAUCAAAAUAAAUAAUCCUCAUAGUUUAUAACCCAUCGAAUGAAAUAUAAAUUAAUUAGUCCCUACUGAUAUAUAAAUAAAGGAAUAAAUAAAUGGGGGAGAAAGGACAGCUCUUACAGAAGGCUCACUAAUAAAUGUAGAAAAAAUAAUGGAAUGAGAAAAUCAUCACUUGGCAACCAUCUUAGUGGUAGCUGCUAAAAGCAGGAUGGAGAUCUGAUGAAGAACAGAGUAAGAGUAAAACUUCAGAAUAUCUAAAAUACUAAUCAAUUCUACUAAAGGGAAAAAUGGUGAGGUUAAGGUAGAGAAAGCUGGCAGAUAUUGACAUGACCAGGUGGAUCAAGAUUAACAUUACCAGUGGUGGGAAUCAUGUGCCUCUAGAAGUGACACACCAAGAGCAUUAACAAUUUAAGACCUCAGUCUGCUCAUGAGAAAUAUCAGAGCAAUCCAAGUAAGGUCUAGACUCUUUCAAACUGGUAAAAACACAAAGAUAGAAAAAGAGUUAAGUGUUCAAGACUGAAGGAAUCUGAAGAGAAUGACAACUCAACACUAUAUAUGUACCUGGAUAAGAUUCCAGACCAGGCUGGGCACGGUGGCUCAUGCCUGUAAUCUCAGCACUUUGGGAGGCCGAGGCGGGCGGAUCACGAGGUCAGGAGAUUGAGAUCAUCCCAGCUAACACAGUGAAACCCCGUCUCUACUAAAACUACAAAAAAUUAGCCAGGCGUGGUGGCGGGCGCCUGUAGUCCCAGCUACCAGGAGGCUGAGGCAGGAGAAUGGCGUGAACCCGGAGGUGGCGCUUGCAGUGAGCCGAGAUCGUGCCACUGCACUCCAGUCUGGGUGACAGAGCGAGACUCCAUCUCAAAACAAAACAAAACAAAACCACUCCAGACCAGACAGGAAAUACAGGUGUUGGGACGGCUGGCAAAAUUUCAGCAGCACCUGUGAAUUAUGUGGUAGGACUGUACCACAACUAAUUUUCUGAUCUAAAAGGUUGUAUGCUGCCUAGGUAGGAGAGUGGUUUUGUUUUGGGAAGAUAUGUAAUGGAACAUUAAAGGAUAAUGGGCCAUUACAUCAGCUGGGUAUGCAGCUUAUUCUCAAAGGAAAACCAACGUAAUGGGUCUCUAGGGAGAGACGAAAAGGGAGUGAGCAUGAGAGCAAACAUGAUAAAAUGUUAAUAGCUAUGGAAUCUAGGUGAAGAGGAUACAGAAUUCUUUGUAAUGUUGUGCCAACUUUUCCAUAAAUCUGAAUUCAUUUCAUAUAUAACACCUUUUUUAUUUUUUUGAGAUAAGAGUAUCGCUCUGUCGGCCAGAUUGGAGUGCAGUGGUGCAAUCUUGGCUCAAAGGACUCUCCUCCCUCAGCCUCCCAACUUUGAAAUAUCAGUGAUGUAUAAUGAAUCUGACCUGCAUACACUUGUGAAAUCAAGAUAAUAUUUUCAUCACCUCCCAAAUUUCCCCAUGCUCCUCCAUACGCACAGGCAUACAUUGUUUCAUUGUGCUUAGCAGAAAUUGCUUUUUUUUUUUUUUUUUAACUGAAGGUUUGUGGCAACCCUGCAACGAGCAAGUCUACUGGCACCAUUUUUCCAAUGGCAUCUGCUUGCUUCAUGUCUCUGUGUCACAUACUGGUAAUUUUUACAAUAAAACAAGCUUUUCCAUUAUUAAUU